rnacentral:lncRNA from 1 species
UUGAGCCCUCACCUGAGGGGUGUCCCACUGUGAUCAGGCGCCCUAGGUGGGAGAGUUGUGUUUGUUGCACAAAACCAGUGCUUGCCAUUCUCCCAUUCAUUUGCGAACUGUUUGAGCACAUGCUUCAUGACCAGCACUGUGCCAAGGCGUCUAGACUUCAAGGCUAGGUCAGACACUGUGAUGACCUGAAGCUCCUCAUUCUGGGGUCAACCAAACUUCAUGGGAUUGCUUAUUGCCAUGGAAGUGUAGGCUGAGGUCAAGCCAAGGAGAGGGGCAUGGUGCAGGGCCAGCUUUGGAUGGAACACCCUUCCCUGACUGUAAGAGGGCUCAGGCCCAGAGACACUCCUUCCCCUCAGACCUUGCUCUAACUCUCUUCCUCUCCCACACAGGCCUCCCUUCCAUGCAGAUGGUGGGGCCUUAAUUGGAGGCCUUAAUUGUGGCUGGAGUGCUCAGAUGAAACUUCCGAAAAGGCCUGAGGAAGACAAAUAGGACCAGCCAAUCUGACUCAUAGCAUGUGACUUGCAAUUUGGGCUCAUGGACCCCUCCAAGGUGGCAAAGGGCAUUCUCAACUCCAGCUUCAGCCCCUUCUGAAGACAUCUGCAAACUCCAGUGUCCAAAUCUUCAGACACCCAGAGAGAAUGAAGCAACCUGGCUCUGUGAGGAUGUUUAGUGGCUCAGCUGCAGCCCUAGAAGCAAAGGUGAUUGCGUAAUAGGAACCACUGGACUGUCUGGAAAUGAUUCUCAACCUAGCAACUGGUCUUUCUGCUAAAGACCCAGGGAUCUGCCUACCUGCUCACCUCUGCCACUCAUGUUCUAUGCAGCAUCCCAAGGGACCCCUGACAGGUGCCAGCUGCACAGCGUUCUUUCAGGUGCCGUUCUCAUGAGUGCCUGCAUUGGGUGAGCUGCUUCAUCCUCCGAGGGAGGACUCUUUCCUUAUCUCUCUCACUCCCUUGCUCCCUCCCUCCAUCCUCCUGCCCUAUCUCACUCCCAGAUUCCUUGAACAUACUGAUCUAUCUGUGCUGCACACUCACCUAUGGAAAGAAUAGCAUCCUGUGACCCAUUACACACUCAGCCUGGUGCUGAGGCUGGGCUCUGUCAGUUCCUUGGUAGUGAGUGUUCUCUCCUGUGGUCGCUUUAAAACACAGUCAUGAAAUUCUUUAGUAUUGUUCCAUUUAGAGAUGGGGUCUAUGA